rnacentral:rRNA from 1 species
UUCCGGUUGAUCCCGCCGGAGGUCACUGCUAUUGGGAUUCGACUAAGCCAUGCGAGUCGAGAGGGUUCGGCCCUCGGCUGACGGCUCAGUAACACGUGGAUAAUCUGCCCUAAGGUGGAGGAUAACCUCGGGAAACUGAGAAUAAUACUCCAUAGGUCUAGGAUGCUGGAAUGCACUUAGGCUGAAAACUUCGGUGCCUUAGGAUGAGUCUGCGGACUAUCAGGUUGUAGUCAGGGUAAAGACCUGACUAGCCUACGACGGAUACGGGUUGUGAGAGCAAUAACCCGGAGAUGAUAUCUGAGACACGAUAUCAGGCCCUACGGGGCGCAGCAGGCGCGAAAACUUCGCACUGCGCGAAAGCGCGACGAGGGAAUCCCAAGUGUAUGCACGUAAGUGUAUACUGUUUCUCUGUCUAAAAAGCAGAGAGAGUAAGAGCUGGGUAAGACGGGUGCCAGCCGCCGCGGUAAUACCUGCAGCUCGAGUGGUGAUCGUUAUUAUUGGGCCUAAAACGUCCGUAGCCGGUCUUCUAAAUGCCUGGGUAAAUCGUAUGGCUUAACCAUACGAAUUCCGGGUAGACUGUUAGACUUGAGACCGGGAGAAGCUAGAGGUACUCCUGGGGUAGAGGUGAAAUUCUGUAAUCCUAGGGGGACGACCAGUGGCGAAGGCGUCUAGCUAGAACGGGUCUGACGGUGAGGGAC